rnacentral:pre_miRNA from 13 species
UAAUCAAUAAAUUUUUAUUUAGUUAUGACAAAUUCAUACCUGACUGCUCAGAAUCACCCGUUAUCACAAGCCCGACUACAUCAUUGAUAUUGAAAAACACAUGUAUAUUUUGAAAUUUUAAUUAAAA